CACGUAGUUAGCCGGCGCUUUCUCUGCAGGUACCGUCAAUCUCUCUUCUUCCCUGCUAACAGAGGUUUACAACCCGAAGGCCGUCAUCCCCCACGCGGCGUCGCUGCAUCAGGCUUGCGCCCAUUGUGCAAUAUUCCCCACUGCUGCCUCCCGUAGGAGUCUGGGCCGUGUCUCAGUCCCAGUGUGGCCGGUCACCCUCUCAGGCCGGCUACCCGUCGUCGCCUUGGUGAGCCGUUACCUCACCAACAAGCUGAUAGGCCGUGAGCCCAUCUAUAACCACUACAUAACGCUUUCCACCAACACCCCAUGCGGAGAUUGGUCGUAUCCGGUAUUAGACCCAGUUUCCCAGGCUUAUCCCAGAGUUAAAGGUAGGUUACUCACGUAUUACUCACCCGUUCGCCACUAAUCCACCUAGCAAGCUAGGCUUCAUCGUUCGACUUGCAUGUGUUAAGCACGCCGCCAGCGUUCGUCCUGAGCCAGGAGUCAAACUACU
rnacentral:rRNA from 1 species